GGGCAGCAGUGGGGAAUAUUGGACAAUGGGGGAAACCCUGAUCCAGCCAUGCCGCGUGUGUGAAGAAGGCCUUUUGGUUGUAAAGCACUUUAAGCAGUGAAGAAGACUCUUCGGUUAAUACCCGGAGACGAUGACAUUAGCUGCAGAAUAAGCACCGGCUAACUCUGUGCCAGCAGCCGCGGUAAUACAGAGGGUGCAAGCGUUAAUCGGAAUUACUGGGCGUAAAGCGAGCGUAGGUGGCUUGAUAAGUCAGAUGUGAAAUCCCCGGGCUUAACCUGGGAACUGCAUCUGAAACUGUUAGGCUAGAGUAGGUGAGAGGGAAGUAGAAUUUCAGGUGUAGCGGUGAAAUGCGUAGAGAUCUGAAGGAAUACCGAUGGCGAAGGCAGCUUCCUGGCAUCAUACUGACACUGAGGCUCGAAAGCGUGGGUAGCAAACAGGAUUAGAUACCCCGGUAGUC
rnacentral:rRNA from 1 species